ensembl:lncRNA
AAGACGGGCAGCGCCCUGCCGUCGAGCGGCCCCAAGUGGGUGCCCAUUCCGGCGCAGCCGGAAAGCAAGUGGGUGCCCAUUCCGGCGCAGCCGGAAAGCCCGCUGCCGACGGGCGUCUCGAAAGCAACAGCCCUCGCGGAGGCGAAAUCGGGAACGCCGUCGCAGCAGAGCCUGCCUAAGGCCAUGCCGGCAACACCGUCGCACCAGGGCUUACCGAAAUCGCUGCCCAUUGAGGCGAGAUUGACGCUACUGUCGCAGCAGAGCCUGCCGAAGGCCAUGCCUGUUGUUGAGCCGAGAUUGGUGGCACAGUUGCAGCAGAGCCUGCCGAAGGCCAUGCCUGUUGUUGAGGCGAGACUGACAGCACCGUCGCAGCAGUGUCUGCCCAAGGCCAUGCCUGUUGUUGAGCCAAGAUUGGCAACACCAUCACAGCUGAGCCUGCCCAAGGCCAUGCCUGUUGUCGAGGUGAAAUCGGCGACACCGUCACCGCAGACCUUGCCAAAGGCAAUGCCUGUUGUCGAGGUGAAAUCGGCAACUCCAUCGCAGCCGAGCCUGCCUAAAGCAAUGCCUGUUGUUGACUUGAAAUCGGCCACACCGUCGCAGCCGAGCCUGCCUAAAGCAAUGCCUGUUGUUGACUUAAAACCAGCAACACCGUCGCAGCCGAGCCUACCGAAGGCGAUGCCUGUUGUCGAGCCAAGAUUGGCAACACCGUCACAGCAGAGCCUGCCCAAGGCCAUGCCUGUUGUCGAGGUGAAAUCGGCGACACCGUCACCGCAGACCUUGCCAAAGGCAAUGCCUGUUGUCGAGGUGAAAUCUGCAACACCAUCACAACCGAGCCUGCCGAAGGCCAUGCCUGUUGUCGAGCCAAGAUUGGCAACACCGUCGCAGCCGAGCCUGCCCAAGGCCAUGCCUGUUGUCGAGGCGAGAGUGGCAACGCCGUCUCAGCAGAGCUUGCCUAAGGCCAUGCCUGUUGUUGAGCCAAGAUUGGCAACACCGUCGCAGCCGAGCCUGCCCAAGGCCAUGCCUGUUGUCGAGCCGAGAUUGGCAACAGCGUCACAGCAGAGCCUGCCCAAAGCAAUGCCCGUUGUCGAGGUGAAGUCAGCAACGCCGUCACAGCAGAGUCCGCCAAAGGCAACGCCUGAUGAGGUGAAGUCAGCAACGCCGUCGCAGCAGAGUCCGCCAAAGGCAACGCCUGAUGAGGUGAAAUCGGCCACACCGUCGCAGCAGAGCCCACCAAAGGCAACGCCCGAUGAGGUGAAAUCGGCCACACCGUCGCAGCAGAGCUUGCCCAAAGCAAUGCCUGUUGUCGAGGUGAAGUCAGCAACACCGUCAGAGCAGAGCCUCCCAAAUGCAGUGCCUGUUGUCGAGGUGAAAUCCGCAACACCGUCACAGCAGAGCCUGCCCAAAGCAAUGCCUGUUGUCGAGGCAAGAUUGGCAACACCGUCACAGCAGAGCCUGCCCAAAGCAAUGCCUGUUGUCGAGAUGAAAUCGGGAACCCCGUCGCAGCAGAGCCUCACAAAACCAGCGCCCACCGUCGAGGUGAAAUCGGCAAGCCCCCUUCCCCAGAGCCAGUCGAAACCAACACCCGUCACAACAGCACAGGCGGCCGCUCCGCCGUGCCAGAGCCCCUCCAAACCAGUGCCCGUCGUGGUGACACAGCCGGCACCUCCGCCAGGGCAGAGCCUCCCGAAACCGCCGCCUGUUGCCACAGCCCAGCCAGGCCUGACC